CAGGAGCCGGGGCGGCCGGGUCUGGGCGUGGGGAGCCCCAGCCAGGCAGCCAGGGCCCGGGAGGGCCUCCCGGGGCUGUGCCCCCAGCCCGUGCCCCCAGCCCCACCCACAGAUGGGGACCAGGAGCCCAGAGGUGGGACGGCACCUCAUCCGGGGCCCACGCCUCCUGCCUGCUCGGUGGACAGUGAGCCCCGAGGCUUGGGAAGCGGGGUACCCGCUCCCUCUGUGCCCUAACCUGGCCCCUCCUCACCCGCAGCUCAGGGCACUGGGCCGUGGCCCAGGCAGCGCCGGAGACCCUGC